AGCUUAAUAAAUAUAACCAAAUAUUGUUCAAAUUCAAUUAAAUUUUUUUAAAAAAUAUAAAAUAAAUACAAAAAAAUCCUAAGUAAAUUCUAAUUGAAUUUUAAUAAAAUCUUAGAUAAAUCUUAAUCAAAUCCUAGAAAAAUCUUAAAUAAAUUCUAGAUAAAUCUUAUAUAAAUUUUAGUCAAAUCCUAAAUAAAUACUUAAUAAAUCUUAGAUAAGUCUUAAUCAAAUCUUAAACAAAUACUUGACGAAUCUUACAUAAAUCCUAAUAGAAUCCUAAACAAAUCUUAAUCAAAUCUUGAAUAAAUCUUUAAAAAUCCUAAUCAAAUCUUAAUGAAAUUCUAAAAUUUAAAUCAAUCUUAAAAAAUCUUAAUAAAAUCCUAAAUCCUACAACAAUCCUAAUGAAUCCUAAUGAAAUUGUAGAAAAAUCCUAUAUCUUACUUAAAUCCUAACCAAAUCUUAGAUCCUAAAAUAAUCCUAAUCAAUUCUUAAUUAAAACUUAAAUCUUAAAUAAAUUUUUUAAUAAUCCUGUAAUAGAUUAAAAAUUGAAUAAAAAAUAAUUGAAUUAUUGAUUUUAAUUCAAAAAUUUUACACCUUAUAACAACUAAGUUAACAAUAAGCACUAGUAUUUUUAAAAAGAUCAUACAUAUCAAAUAGAUGAUAAAUUCUAAAAUCUACUUGGAUGUUAGCUAGCCUCUUUCUUCAAUCUUAAUACCAAUCU
rnacentral:lncRNA from 1 species